GGAACUUUCCGCAAUGGGCGAAAGCCUGACGGAGUAACGCCGCGUGAGGGAUGAAGGCCUCUGGGCUGUAAACCUCUUUUAUCAAGGAAGAAGAUCUGACGGUACUUGAUGAAUAAGCCACGGCUAAUUCCGUGCCAGCAGCCGCGGUAAUACGGGAGUGGCAAGCGUUAUCCGGAAUUAUUGGGCGUAAAGCGUCCGCAGGCGGUCUUGUAAGUCUGUUGUUAAAGCGUGGAGCUUAACUCCAUUUCAGCAAUGGAAACUGCAAGACUAGAGUGUGGUAGGGGCAGAGGGAAUUCCCGGUGUAGCGGCGAAAUGCGUAGAUAUCGGGAAGAACACCAGUGGCGAAGGCGCUCUGCUGGGCCAUAACUGACGCUCAUGGACGAAAGCCAGGGGAGCGAAAGGGAUUAGAUACCCCAGUAGUC
rnacentral:rRNA from 1 species